UGUUUUCAUACGGUAUUGAACUAUACUUUGCAUUCACUGUAAAAACUCUUUAAAAUUCUAUGCUUUUUUUAUGUGAACAUUAACUUGAGAUCUAAAAUAAUUUUCACUUAUCUUUUAGCAAAAUUUAAAAAGCAUUACGCAAUGGACACACAGAAAAUUCGAAUAAAAUUUUUUAGGAAUCAGAAUGAGAAAAAUAACUUGUGGGCCAGGAAUUUUUUUUAACAGAAUAGUCAACAAUAAAGCAAAAAGAUUUUCAAAGUUCAGCUCUAGGAUCCCAAAAUAUAAAAGUCAGAACGGAAGAUCAACAAGGAUGAUGAAACUCAAAAUUUAAAAAACAACAGUGGCCAUCAACAAAAAAGAUGGAAAACUAGGUUCAUUGAUCAGUUUUAUUAAAAAGUAAAGCUUCU